UACGUAGGGUGCGAGCGUUGUCCGGAAUUAUUGGGCGUAAAGAGCUUGUAGGCGGUUUGUCGCGUCUGCUGUGAAAAUCCGGGGCUCAACCCCGGACUUGCAGUGGGUACGGGCAGACUAGAGUGUGGUAGGGGGAGACUGGAAUUCCUGGUGUAGCGGUGGGAAUGCGCAGAUAUCAGGAGGAACACCGAUGGCGAAGGCAGGUCUCUGGGCCACUACUGACGCUGAGAAGCGAAAGCAUGGGGAGCGAACAGG
rnacentral:rRNA from 1 species